rnacentral:rRNA from 1 species
CUAGCCCUAAACGAUGUAGACUAGGCGUUGGUGGCUUAAUCGCCAUCAGUGUCCAAGCUAACGCGAUAAGUCUACCGCCUGGGGACUACGGCCGCAAGGUUAAAACUCAAAGGAAUUGACGGGUCCCCGCACAAGCAGCGGAGCGUGUGGUUUAAUUCGUUGCUACACGAAGAACCUUACCUGGGUUUGACAUAGCAGUGGUAGGGAAGAGAAAUCGGACCGACCCUUCGGGGAGCUGUUACAGGUGU